AGUAGAAUUGUUGGUCAUAUGGCAACUGUAUAUACUUAACAUUUUGAGGAACUGCCAAAAUGUUUUCUAAAUUGGCUGUACCAUUUUAUAUUUCCACCAACAAU
rnacentral:pre_miRNA from 1 species